ACGGCGAGUGAAGCGGCAAAAGCUCAAAUUUGAAAUCUGGUCCCCUUUGGGGGCCCGAGUUGUAAUUUGAAGAGGAUGAUUUUGGCGAGGCGCCUUCCGAGUGCCCUGGAACGGGACGCCACAGAGGGUGAGAGCCCCGUAUGGUCGGACGCCGAGCCUAUGUAAAUCUCCUUCUACGAGUCGAGUAGUUUGGGAAUGCUGCUCAAAAUGGGAGGUAAACCCCUUCUAAAGCUAAAUACCGGCCAGAGACCGAUAGCGCACAAGUAGAGUGAUCGAAAGAUGAAAAGCACUUUGAAAAGAGAGUUAAACAGCACGUGAAAUUGUUGAAAGGGAAGCGCUUGCGACCAGACUUGCGCCCGUCGGAUCAACCGUCCCUCGUGGGCGGCGCACUCCGGCGGGCUCAGGCCAGCAUCAGUUUUCCGGGGGGGAGAAAGGCGGUUGGAAUGUAGCUCUUCGGAGUGUUAUAGACUUCCGCGUAAUACCCCCUGGGGGACUGAGGACCGCG
rnacentral:rRNA from 1 species